GCAUAUCAAUAAGCGGAGGAAAAGAAACUAAAUAGGAUUCCCUUAGUAAUGGCGAAUGAACAGGGAUCAGCUCAGGAUGGAAAUCGGGACCUUUCGGUCUUGAAUUGUAAUCUGGAGAUGCAUCACCAACUGUGGCACAGAUGUAAGCCUCUUGGAAAAGAGCAUCAGUGAGGGUGAGAAUCCCGCAUGGCAUCUGUAGUCCUCAGUGUACGGUGUGCAUUCUAAGAGUCGCACUCCUCGGGACUGGAGUGUAAAUUGGGUGGUAAAUUUCAUCUAAAGCUAAAUAUUUGUUCGAGACCGAUAGCAAACAAGUACCAUGAGGGAAAGAUGAAAAGGACUUUGAGAAGAGAGUUAAAAGUGCCUGAAAUUGCUGAAAGAGAAGCGAAUGGAACCAGUGAAACGUUGCAAGAUUGUCAUACGCUAUCGUGAUUGCUCGCUGCUUCAACGCAAGUGUGGUAGUGGGUUUUGAUCGGGACGUGUGUGGUGUUUCUUGCUUUGCCCGUCAACAUUAGUUCACAUAUGAGGAAAACUUCAGGGACAUGGUAGCCCGCUACUGGUAGGUGAAUGUGCUUGUCGGACUCAUUUGGGGCUAAGUGGUGAUAAAAUGGGUCCAUCCGACCCGUCUUGAAACACGGACC
rnacentral:rRNA from 1 species